CAGUCGAACGGGAGACCUUCGGGUCUCUAGUGGCGAACGGGUGAGUAACACGUAGGGAACCUGCCCGCGCACCGGGAAUACGCUCUGGAAACGGAGAACAAAUCCCGAUGUACAGGAAGGAGGCAUCUUCUUUCUGUGAAACAUCCUUUAGGGGAUGGGGCGCGGAUGGACCUGCGGUGCAUUAGUUGGUUGGCGGGGUAAAGGCCCACCAAGACGAUGAUGCAUAGCCGGCCUGAGAGGGCGGACGGCCACAUUGGGACUGAGACACGGCCCAGACUCCUGCGGGAGGCAGCAGUAGGGAAUUUUCGUCAAUGGGCGCAAGCCUGAACGAGCGAUGCCGCGUGAGUGAAGAAGGCCUUCGGGUCGUAAAGCUCUGUUGCGGGGGAAAAAAGGCAGCAUCAGGAAAUGGGUGCUGACUGAUGGUGCCCCGCCAGAAAGUCACGGCUAACUACGUGCCAGCAGCCGCGGUAAUACGUAGGUGGCGAGCGUUAUCCGGAAUGAUUGGGCGUAAAGGGUGCGCAGGCGGUCCUGCAAGUCUGGAGUGAAACGCAUGAGCUCAACUCAUGCAUGGCUUUGGAAACUGGAGGACUGGAGAGCAGGAGAGGGCGGUGGAACUCCAUGUGUAGCGGUAAAAUGCGUAGAUAUAUGGAAGAACACCA
rnacentral:rRNA from 1 species